GAUGAACGCUAGCGGCAGGCUUAAUACAUGCAAGUCGAGGGGUAGCAAGAUUGUAGCAAUACAAUUGUUGACGACCGGCAAACGGGUGCGGAACACGUACACAACCUUCCUACAAGUGGGGAAUAGCCCAGAGAAAUUUGGAUUAAUACCCCGUAACAUAGCGAUGUGGCAUCACAUUGCUAUUAUAGCUUCGGCGCUUGUUGAUGGGUGUGCGGCUGAUUAGAUAGUUGGCGGGGUAACGGCCCACCAAGUCUACGAUCAGUAGCUGAUGUGAGAGCAUGAUCAGCAACACGGGAACUGAGACACGGGCCCGACUGCUACGGGAGGCAGCAGUAAGGAAUAUUGGAAAAUGGACGCAAGUCUGAUCCAGCCAUGCCGCGUGAAGGAUUAAGGUCCUCUGGAUUGUAAACUUCUUUUAUAAGGGACGAAAAAAGGUCUUUCUAGAUCGUCUGACGGUACCUUAUGAAUAAGCACCGGCUAACUCCGUGCCAGCCGCCGCCGUAAUAC
rnacentral:rRNA from 1 species